rnacentral:rRNA from 1 species
UACGUAGGGUGCGAGCGUUGUCCGGAAUUAUUGGGCGUAAAGAGCUUGUAGGCGGUUUGUCGCGUCUGCCGUGAAAAUUCGAGGCUCAACCUCGAACUUGCGGUGGGUACGGGCAGACUAGAGUGUGGUAGGGGAGACUGGAAUUCCUGGUGUAGCGGUGAAAUGCGCAGAUAUCAGGAGGAACACCGAUGGCGAAGGCAGGUCUCUGGGCCACUACUGGCGUUGAGAAGCGAAAGCAUGGGGAGCGAACAGG